GAAAUGCUCGGAAAAAAUGGAUGAGGCUCCGGCGAGAGAGACCGGUGUUAUCUCGAGGGUGAUUUGCCUCUCUCAUGCCACUACAUGAUCCAAUUUGGUUCAUGUUGAGCCCAUGAUUUCGUCCCCCAUUAUUCACUAAUAUGGUGAACAAUCAAAAUCCCUUUGAAGCACAUAACCAGAAAUAGAAGAAAGCAAGAUGUGAAUCGAGAUCUCUGGUCUCUCUCUCUCUCUUUCUCUGUAUAUAUAUAUAGGGGGUGUUUGUGAUUGCUUAUGUUUGGAUUGCUUAUUUAUAACAACUUAUGCUUUUUCUUUGUAAAAGUGCUUAUUUAUGAACAUGAUGCUUUUGGUACGGUUUCCGAUUGAUCCGGUAGGUUUUAUUUUCCGAUCUGGAGAUAUAUCGGAGGUCGUCACCACUGUUGCCAAAUAAACAUCGAGGCUGUGAUGAAAUUCUUCUGCAUUUAGCUUUUCCGAGCAUAGGUUUCCGAGCACUGGGUAAAACUCGGCCCGUAUCUUGGCGGGGCAACGCGUUGCAGCCAUGGCGGUGUCUGAUCCCAUUUGUCGGAUUCCAGAUUUGCAGAUCUGAGCCUCUCUUUGAGCAUCUCCGUUGGUAAAAGUAAAGACUUGAUAAAUGGAGGGGAAAUUGACCAAAAUAACCAUUCUGUCGCUUUGGAUUUUUCAUAGGUUUUUUGUCCAUUUAUGAAAAACCAUUGAGCAUCUUGAGGCUGUGAUGAUGAAUUUGAAUGCAUCUGAGUGGAUUCGAUCAAAAUCUGAGAUAAUCCGCAUCUUGGCUGGGCAACCGGGAUGGUUAUGUGAGAGAAAGAAGACAUGAAUGUUUCUGUUCUUUGUUAUUGCAACCAGUAAGUUGCAGCCAUGGUGGAUUUAUCCUCUUUGUUGAUUGUUUACAUCUGAGCCUCACAUUUUUCAACCUACCCCGUGUUACUCAUUUUCUAGAACAUUUUUUUUAUUAAUCUGGAUAUUUAACCCGCUAUGCAAGACGACUAUUCCUAGGCGACCACCUGCUUUGUCGAAGGAAAUUUUUAUUUCUUCUUGGAUUUGAACUGGGACCUUCAGACACUUUUGACCUUCAGAGCUCAAACUCAAACCAAUCAGGCACCAUGGUUACUGAAACAUUAUCGAGGCUGUGAUGAUAUUUUUCUGCAUUUGACAUUUCUGAGCAUGGGGUUCUCGGCACUGGGUGAAACUUGGCAAGUGUCGUGGCGGGGCAACCUGAAUGGUGUUGCAGCCAUGGUGGUUUCUGAUCCCCUUUGUCUGAACCCAGAUCUGCAGAUCUGAGCCUCAUCCAAUUUCAUUAUUCCUCCAAAAGUGGAUUGAAAGGAUGCAUUUCGGUUUGUAAUAUAAACAACUCCACACUCGGAUAACAUGAGGCAUUUUCAGAGGGGAUGAAGAUGAUGAUUCCUAAGGGUGGUUGGCCCUCUCUGAUCGUACCAAAGUCUGAUUUGACUUCAUUUGGUCAAACAUCAUUCUUUGUGGCCGAUGAUUUUUUCCUGUGGAUUCGAUCAAAGUUGAGAUUACGUGCAUCUUGGCAUGGCAAUCAACGAGAUGAUUCAAACACUAGCGCA